rnacentral:lncRNA from 1 species
CACCUUGCAAUAACCUAAAAACAUCUAACCAGCUGGCAAGAUCAUAUCAGAACUUCAGAAGUACUAAUCAUCAACAAACAAAAUGUCAGGUAGGGGACCUCCAAAUAAACAUGAAAGCAUACUUCACCACAAGAGAGAUUAAAUUAAACAAAUGCCAUCCUUAUGAAUUCCAAAACUGAUCUCAGAGAAUUAUCUUGUAAAGCAACUAUAUAGAGUAACUCAUAUAGCAAAGAAAGAGGUAUGAAAAUCCUACGGCAACUUCUAAUGAGUACUGCACUAAAUCUAAGAGUGGCAAACUUUCAGUGAGCAUUGUGUGGAUAAACAGAACUUUCAGUAAGCAAACUUUCAUAGUUUAAGUAAGUAAACAUCAAGUUACAGAAACACUUCACUGACAGGGUCAACUCUGCCGGUAACUGUAGAAUCUGCUGCUUUGGGUGGCAAUGGCAACUGGCAAAAGAAUAAUAACACGAUAAUUGUCACUGGAGGAACCAUGUGAUUGGAGGCAGGUGCAAGGCAUACUGGACCUC